CCAAAUGGAGUUUUCCAGGAAUCCGCGAAUAUACCUUUCUAAGUCUCGGGCUUUCAGGCACGAGAGAAGCACUGUGUCCAGAGUUACAGAACUGGAGCUUGACCUGAGGUGUCCUGGAUGCCUGCUGGGAUCGUGCCUUCAGCGACUGUCCUGUGUCUAGACCCAUCUGUACCACUUACCAACCCUGUGACCUUUGGUGAAUUGCUGUGGAACAUAUCAGCCCCCCCCUCCCCCCAGGGGCACGCGAGGACUCGAGGGACAAUGGAGGCAGGGCCCUUAGCCCAACAUGUACUUAGCACUCAAAGCAUGGAAGCUAUCUUUGAAAUCACGGUUAAUAUCCCUCUUGCUGUUUUCCCGCUUCCCGGCACUUAUCGUGGCCUUAAAUCCAGUGGCGGGAGUGAGAGAAUUAAGAUAACCAAGUGGCUUAGUGACAACAUUAUGUAAAACUGUCUCCCUGUGGAUCCUUCCAAGCUAAAUAGAGUACAGCAUUUGAGUUUCCAAAGGUAACUCAGUAAACUCUCUUAUCAUUGGGGAACGAGGAGGCUGGUUAAUCAAAUACAGAGAAAUCAGAGCAAAUCAAAUAAGGAGUUACCGUGUUGGCCGAAUUGGAAUUAGCCUUAGCGAAAGGAUCAGGAUUCGGCAGAAACCCAGCCAAAAACGCCCUGGGGCCUUCUCAUUGCCCACCAGCUUACACAGAACCCGGUUCCGGUCGUGCCCUCUGGGGCCCACACUCCCGUCCCUCAGCCCUGGGCCCCUGGCACAAGCCUGACACCUCCGUGGCUUUGCUUGUAUCUUGCCUCGACUCCUGGAAGAUCUCAAUCAUGUCACUUUGCCUUUCUGCGCUGCUGUCUCUUGAUCUACUAUAAAGCGGCAGAAUGUAUGUCCCCACUGGAACACUGGGAUGGUAAUGAGGUGCCGUGUGUGUUAAUGCGUCUGGAAGACCGGCUGCCGGGCCAGGUGCUCAUAAAGCUUCAGCUGACCUGGAUGUGGGCCCCUAGAAACCACUGUGGGCCACCUGGAUGACAGAAGAUCAAUGGUCCCCAGGUUGCCGAGGACCUGGAAAGCGUCCCAAGAACACCGUAGAGAUUGUAUUACAGUUAAAGACCCUUCUCUGACCCCUCCUGCUGACCAUUCCAGACUAUUUAGGAUACACAAAGGUAAAGCCUGAUCCUAGUAACGUGGGAGAUUUUGUUUAAUUCAUAAGCGAAAAUGCUAUUGUUUCAAACUCCUCAACAAGCAACAACAAUCAUUGCCAUUGAAAACUGCUUCGGUACCAAGCACUGUUCUAAGUAUUUUUCAGGUGUCAACUCGUUUAAUCCUCACACACUAUGUCGUAGAUGGCGUGACAGAGGCACAGAGAGGUGAAGCGAUUUUCCCGAGGCCACGCAGCUAGAAAGGGGCAGAGCUUAGGCUCUUAACUGCUUUGUAAUAAAUGACUGAAACCCAC